rnacentral:rRNA from 1 species
UUAAGCGACUAAGCGUACACGGUGGAUGCCCUGGCAGUCAGAGGCGAUGAAGGACGUGCUAAUCUGCGAUAAGCGUCGGUAAGGUGAUAUGAACCGUUAUAACCGGCGAUUUCCGAAUGGGGAAACCCAGUGUGUUUCGACACACUAUCAUUAACUGAAUCCAUAGGUUAAUGAGGCGAACCGGGGGAACUGAAACAUCUAAGUACCCCGAGGAAAAGAAAUCAACCGAGAUUCCCCCAGUAGCGGCGAGCGAACGGGGAGCAGCCCAGAGCCUGAAUCAGUGUGUGUGUUAGUGGAAGCGUCUGGAAAGGCGCGCGAUACAGGGUGACAGCCCCGUACACAAAAAUGCACAUGCUGUGAGCUCGAUGAGUAGGGCGGGACACGUGGUAUCCUGUCUGAAUAUGGGGGGACCAUCCUCCAAGGCUAAAUACUCCUGACUGACCGAUAGUGAACCAGUACCGUGAGGGAAAGGCGAAAAGAACCCCGGCGAGGGGAGUGAAAAAGAACCUGAAACCGUGUACGUACAAGCAGUGGGAGCACGCUUAGGCGUGUGACUGCGUACCUUUUGUAUAAUGGGUCAGCGACUUAUAUUCUGUAGCAAGGUUAACCGAAUAGGGGAGCCGAAGGGAAACCGAGUCUUAACUGGGCGUUAAGUUGCAGGGUAUAGACCCGAAACCCGGUGAUCUAGCCAUGGGCAGGUUGAAGGUUGGGUAACACUAACUGGAGGACCGAACCGACUAAUGUUGAAAAAUUAGCGGAUGACUUGUGGCUGGGGGUGAAAGGCCAAUCAAACCGGGAGAUAGCUGGUUCUCCCCGAAAGCUAUUUAGGUAGCGCCUCGUGAAUUCAUCUCCGGGGGUAGAGCACUGUUUCGGCAAGGGGGUCAUCCCGACUUACCAACCCGAUGCAAACUGCGAAUACCGGAGAAUGUUAUCACGGGAGACACACGGCGGGUGCUAACGUCCGUCGUGAAGAGGGAAACAACCCAGACCGCCAGCUAAGGUCCCAAAGUCAUGGUUAAGUGGGAAACGAUGUGGGAAGGCCCAGACAGCCAGGAUGUUGGCUUAGAAGCAGCCAUCAUUUAAAGAAAGCGUAAUAGCUCACUGGUCGAGUCGGCCUGCGCGGAAGAUGUAACGGGGCUAAACCAUGCACCGAAGCUGCGGCAGCGACGCUUAUGCGUUGUUGGGUAGGGGAGCGUUCUGUAAGCCUGCGAAGGUGUGCUGUGAGGCAUGCUGGAGGUAUCAGAAGUGCGAAUGCUGACAUAAGUAACGAUAAAGCGGGUGAAAAGCCCGCUCGCCGGAAGACCAAGGGUUCCUGUCCAACGUUAAUCGGGGCAGGGUGAGUCGACCCCUAAGGCGAGGCCGAAAGGCGUAGUCGAUGGGAAACAGGUUAAUAUUCCUGUACUUGGUGUUACUGCGAAGGGGGGACGGAGAAGGCUAUGUUGGCCGGGCGACGGUUGUCCCGGUUUAAGCGUGUAGGCUGGUUUUCCAGGCAAAUCCGGAAAAUCAAGGCUGAGGCGUGAUGACGAGGCACUACGGUGCUGAAGCAACAAAUGCCCUGCUUCCAGGAAAAGCCUCUAAGCAUCAGGUAACAUCAAAUCGUACCCCAAACCGACACAGGUGGUCAGGUAGAGAAUACCAAGGCGCUUGAGAGAACUCGGGUGAAGGAACUAGGCAAAAUGGUGCCGUAACUUCGGGAGAAGGCACGCUGAUAUGUAGGUGAAGUCCCUCGCGGAUGGAGCUGAAAUCAGUCGAAGAUACCAGCUGGCUGCAACUGUUUAUUAAAAACACAGCACUGUGCAAACACGAAAGUGGACGUAUACGGUGUGACGCCUGCCCGGUGCCGGAAGGUUAAUUGAUGGGGUUAGCCGCAAGGCGAAGCUACUUGGAUCGAAGACCCCGGUAAACGGCGGACCGUAACUAUAACGGUCCUAAGGUAGCGAAAUUCCUUGUACGGGUAAGUUCCGACCUGCACGAAUGGCGUAAUGAUGGCCAGGCUGUCUCACCCGAGACUCAGUGAAAUUGAACUCGCUGUGAAGAUGCAGUGUACCCCGACGGCAAGACGGGAAAGACCCCGUGAACCUUUUACUAUAGCUUGACACUGAACAUUGAGCCUUGAUGUGUAGGAUAGGUGGGAGGCUUGGAAGUGUGGACGCCAGUCUGCAUGGAGCCGACCUUGAAAUACCACCCUUUAAUGUUUGAUGUUCUAACGUUGACCCGUAAUCCGGGUUGCGGACAGUGUCUGGUGGGUAGUUUGACUGGGGCGGUCUCCUCCUAAAGAGUAACGGAGGAGCACGAAGGUUGGCUAAUCCUGGUCGGACAUCAGGAGGUUAGUGCAAUGGCAUAAGCCAGCUUGACUGCGAGCGUGACGGCGCGAGCAGGUGCGAAAGCAGGUCAUAGUGAUCCGGUGGUUCUGAAUGGAAGGGCCAUCGCUCAACGGAUAAAAGGUACUCCGGGGAUAACAGGCUGAUACCGCCCAAGAGUUCAUAUCGACGGCGGUGUUUGGCACCUCGAUGUCGGCUCAUCACAUCCUGGGGCUGAAGUAGGUCCCAAGGGUAUGGCUGUUCGCCAUUUAAAGUGGUACGCGAGCUGGGUUUAGAACGUCGUGAGACAGUUCGGUCCCUAUCUGCCGUGGGCGCUGGAGAACUGAGGGGGGCUGCUCCUAGUACGAGAGGACCGGAGUGGACGCAUCACUGGUGUUCGGGUUGUCAUGCCAAUGGCACUGCCCGGUAGCUAAAUGCGGAAGAGAUAAGUGCUGAAAGCAUCUAAGCACGAAACUUGCCCCGAGAUGAGUUCUCCCUGACUCCUUGAGAGUCCUGAAGGAACGUUGAAGACGACGACGUUGAUAGGCCGGGUGUGUAAGCGCAGCGAUGCGUUGAGCUAACCGGUACUAAUGAACCGUGAGGCUUAACCUU